GAACUCACAAACCAUGAGAUCAUGACGUGGGCAGAAGUCAGAUGCUUAACCAACUGAGCCACCCAGGUGCCCCAGGGUAUUUUCCAUUAAUAUGUAAACAUGUAUGUAGAUAAGCUCUUACUCUAUAUGCAGUUUUAAAAAUGCUUUUGUUCACUUACCAAAUACCUAAAGCAUAUUUCAUGUUAAUAAACAGGCACACGUAUCAUUUUUUUGUGAUGAUGGUCACUUAGAAUUUCACUGCAUGUAUACACCAUUAUUAUAUUAACCUGUCCUCUACAGCUGAGCAUUUAGAUGUUUAUCAAAUUUUGCCAUAUAUAUAAUCAGCCACUGUUCCUCAUUUAUGUUUGAAACGCAGCCUAAAGCUAUAGUGGUUUAGCACUUCACUGCUCUAGGUGAUCUUAGAAGAGUAAGGAGCAUGUGUAAUUGUCAAUUUUGUUUCAUUAAAAAUGUAUAAUAGUGCUGAUGGCGACUUUGUCAAUACUUAUUCUUAGUGCCUCUAAACCUCACAUACCCAGGAAAACUACACUCUGAGGCUAGUUUAUUUAUAUGCCUGUAGGAGACUGUGAGAAGAAAAUGCUGAUUUAAAAACCAGGUACAUAAGGUAAAGUGAGGAAACAUAAAGGGCUGUCUAUGGUGAUGUUACUAUUGGCAGUCCCUAGCACUAAAUCAUCUCUUUCAUGGCAAUCAGUCCUUAGGAGGAUUAUCCAAUUAUGAAAAAUAAAUACCUUAAUGAAAAUGAGAGGUGGCAGUUUAAAAGAAAACAGUACCCUUAAUUAUAAUAAUGCUCCUAGGUAUGGUUAAUGACCCUAUACAUUAAGGAACAUAGAACUUUAAUGACCUGGACCACACCAGGGUCACAAUUGGUAGCGGAACACUGAUCAACAUAUAAAAGCCACCAAACACAUGAAAGAAAUUACAGUACAUCACACAUCAAACAUUUUGGCCUGGUGCUUCCUUCCUCUAAUCCUACUGGCAGGAAAUGCUCUACAUAUCCUUUGAGGUGACCAGACACAUUUAAAAGUAGUCCCUGGUUAAAAAAGCUCUUUGGCUACUGCAGUUUUCUCCAAAGAGGAGAGCGCCUUCUGCUCAGCACUGGUCCCUUCACUUCCACUUGAAGCACCUCAAAGGAGCUCCGCUGAUGAGAAAAAUCACUGAAUGGAAAUGAAGAAUACUUUUUCCCUGUUCCUUCCUGUGAAACCUGUCUGGAUGGAACUUCCGGAAUCAUUCUUUCCUCGUAUCAUAAUUUUCAGAAGAUGUACAGACUUAAUGCCGAUGAAAUUGCUGCAAGAUCGAAGAUAACAAAAUAAACUUACUGGUAAAUAUCUUUCCUGAGGACAGUUCUGCCAAGGGGAUUGUCAGCUUGGGGAGCCAUAGCAACAGAGCCAAUCUUCAAAACCAUGGUGUCUUCUUUUGCUGCCUGAUUAACUGUAAUAAAAGAAAUUGAUUCAUGAGGUA